rnacentral:misc_RNA from 1 species
GUGAAUCAUCAAAUUUUUGAACGCAAAUUGCGCUUCCUGGUAUUCCGGGAAGUAUGCCUGUUUGAGGGUCAGUAUUAACAAAAAAAUCGGUUUGGUGUUAAAUUGUUGCGUUUCCGGAGUUGGGGUUAUCUUAAUUUUUUUUGUUAAUGGUCUUAAAAUUGACCUUUUUUGCGCAUUUUUAGACGUACUUAAAUUUUUUUUUUAUUCGUCUAUUCUUAAUGCCAAAAUCUUAUUAGAUGCUAUAACUUC